UACGUAGGGUGCAAGCGUUGUCCAGAAUUAUUGGGCGUAAAGAGCUCGUAGGCGGUUUGUCGCGUCUGCUGUGAAAACUGGAGGCUCAACCUCCAGCCUGCAGUGGGUACGGGCAAACUAGAGUGCGGUAGAGGAGAUUGGAAUUCCUGGUGUAGCGGUGAAAUGCGCAGAUAUCAGGAGGAACACCAACAGCGAAGGCAGAUCUCUGGGACGUUACUGACGCUGAGACGCGAAAGCGUGGGGAGCAAACAGG
rnacentral:rRNA from 1 species